AACGUAGGGGGCGAGCGUUAUCCGGAAUCACUGGGCGUAAAGGGCGUCUAGGCGGUCCAGUAAGUCCUGCGUGAAAGCUCCCGGCUCAACUGGGAGAGCGCGUGGGAGACUGUUGGGCUAGAGACUCAGAGAGGGGUGUGGAAUUCCCGGUGGAGUGGUGAAAUGCGUUGAGAUCGGGAGGAACACCAGUGGCGAAGGCGGCCAACUGGGCCGGACCUGACGCUGAGGCGCGAAGGCGUGGGGAGCGAACGGG
rnacentral:rRNA from 1 species